GACGAACGCUGGCGGCGUGCUUAACACAUGCAAGUCGAACGGAAAGGCCCCCUUGUGGGGUACCCGAGUGGCGAACGGGUGAGUAACACGUGAGUAACCUACCCUUGACUUUGGGAUAACUUCAGGAAACUGGGGCUAAUACCGGAUAGGAGCUCCUGCUGCAUGGUGGGGGUUGGAAAGUUUCGGCGGUUGGGGAUGGACUCGCGGCUUAUCAGCUUGUUGGUGGGGUAGUGGCUCACCAAGGCUUUGACGGGUAGCCGGCCUGAGAGGGUGACCGGCCACAUUGGGACUGAGAUACGGCCCAGACUCCUACGGGAGGCAGCAGUGGGGAAUAUUGCACAAUGGGCGGAAGCCUGAUGCAGCAACGCCGCGUGCGGGAUGACGGCCUUCGGGUUGUAAACCGCUUUCGCCUGUGACGAAGCGUGAGUGACGGUAAUGGGUAAAGAAGCACCGGCUAACUACGUG
rnacentral:rRNA from 1 species